GGAAGAGUAAUCCAAGUUUCGGCCUAAUGGAUGCGGUCUUGAAAACCGUUAGCUUUAAAUGGCGUGUGGGUUCGAGACCCACCUCUUCCGCCA
rnacentral:tRNA from 6 species